GAACUUUGAACUAAAAAUCGCACAGAACAGGGAGCCACCUGCUAUGAAAACUCUGCUUGGGUGUGAAAUGGGGACAGACUGAAUAAAAGAAUUACUGCAAAGAAUCUAGAACAACCUGACUGCAAAUAAUGAAGAAGUGUAAGAGGUAAAAAACAGGAGAACCAAGUCCAGACAGAUGCCUCGAGGAAGUUUUCGAUCAGAGUUGUCUCCAGAUAUUGGUUGCAUCUGGUAUUCAGAGGUCUGCUACCUCAAACAUGAAGGUUGUUAUGAAGAUAAAGAAGAGGAAGAACCAAGGAUGAUAUCCUGAAUUUGCUGAAGAAAGAAGAGGAUAUAAAUGGAAGAAAUAAUCUUAUGAUAAGCAAUCAUCAUAAAUUGUCACUGGCUGACAUUCUCCACAGCCCUCUUUUCAUCACCUUCCUUCACCUAGAGAGCUGCAGAGAAUGUCAGCCACCA